rnacentral:rRNA from 1 species
UGGGGAAUAUUGGACAAUGGGCGAAAGCCUGAUCCAGCCAUGCCGCGUGUGUGAAGAAGGCCUUUUGGUUGUAAAGCACUUUAAGCGAGGAGGAGGCUACUUGGAUUAAUACUCUAGGAUAGUGGACGUUACUCGCAGAAUAAGCACCGGCUAACUCUGUGCCAGCAGCCGCGGUAAUACAGAGGGUGCGAGCGUUAAUCGGAUUUACUGGGCGUAAAGCGUGCGUAGGCGGCUUCUUAAGUCGGAUGUGAAAUCCCUGUGCUUAACUUAGGAAUUGCAUUCGAUACUGGGAAGCUAGAGUAUGGGAGAGGAUGGUAGAAUUCCAGGUGUAGCGGUGAAAUGCGUAGAGGUCUGGAGGAAUACCGAUGGCGAAGGCAGCCAUCUGGCCUAAUACUGACGCUGAGGUACGAAAGCAUGGGGAGCAAACAGG